rnacentral:rRNA from 1 species
CAGUAGCGUAUAUUAAAGUUGUUGCAGUUAAAAUGCUCGUAGUUGAAGUUCGGAUGCAGCAGAGCUUGGAAACGCUGUUAUGGUGCUUCCGUUGCUUUUGCUUGUCCACAGUGCGUUGCAAGUACGUAUGUGCUUGUGCGUGCAUUUUACUUUGAGAAACAUAGGGUGUUCCACGCAUGUUACGGCAUGAAUAUUCCAGCAUGGGAUAAUCUGGUACGACUUCCAAUCUGCCAUUUUGGUUCGUAGGUUGGAAGUAAUGAUUAAUAGGGACUGUCGGGGGCAUUGGUAUUUGACUGUCAGAGGUGAAAUUCUUAGUUUCGUUGAGGACCAACCACUGCGAAAGCAUUUGUCAAGGAUGUCUCCAUUAA